UACGAAGGGGGCUAGCGUUGCUCGGAAUCACUGGGCGUAAAGGGUGCGUAGGCGGGUCUUUAAGUCAGGGGUGAAAUCCUGGAGCUCAACUCCAGAACUGCCUUUGAUACUGAGGAUCUUGAGUUCGGGAGAGGUGAGUGGAACUGCGAGUGUAGAGGUGAAAUUCGUAGAUAUUCGCAAGAACACCAGUGGCGAAGGCGGCUCACUGGCCCGAUACUGACGCUGAGGCACGAAAGCGUUGGGGAGCAAACAGG
rnacentral:rRNA from 1 species